AUGUAACCCAACGCAGCAUGGU
rnacentral:miRNA from 11 species